rnacentral:rRNA from 1 species
GAUGAACGCUAGCUACAGGCUUAACACAUGCAAGUCGAGGGGAAACGACAUCGAAAGCUUGCUUUUGAUGGGCGUCGACCGGCGCACGGGUGAGUAACGCGUAUCCAACCUGCCCAUCACUUGGUGAUAACCUUGCGAAAGUAAGACUAAUACCCAAUGAUAUCUCUAGAAGACAUCUGAAAGAGAUUAAAGAUUUAUCGGUGAUGGAUGGGGAUGCGUCUGAUUAGCUUGUUGGCGGGGUAACGGCCCACCAAGGCAACGAUCAGUAGGGGUUCUGAGAGGAAGGUCCCCCACAUUGGAACUGAGACACGGUCCAAACUCCUACGGGAGGCAGCAGUGAGGAAUAUUGGUCAAUGGGCGAGAGCCUGAACCAGCCAAGUAGCGUGCAGGAAGACGGCCCUAUGGGUUGUAAACUGCUUUUAUAAGGGAAUAAAGUGAGAGUCGUGACUCUUUUUGUAUGUACCUUAUGAAUAAGGACCGGCUAAUUCCGUG